GCUUCUAACUUUUAAACAAGCAUGAAAAUGUUUAUAUUUCUU
rnacentral:tRNA from 1 species